rnacentral:rRNA from 1 species
AUUGAACGCUGGCGGCAGGCCUAACACAUGCAAGUCGCACGAGUGGCGGACGGGUGAGUAAUGUCUGGGAAACUGCCCGAUGGAGGGGGAUAACUACUGGAAACGGUAGCUAAUACCGCAUACCAUCGGAUGUGCCCAGAUGGGAUGAGCUUGUAGGUGGGGUAACGGCUCACCUAGGCGACGAUCCCUAGCUGGUCUGAGAGUAUGACCAGCCACACUGGAACUGAGACCCGGUCCAGAAUCCUACGUGCGGCAGCAGUGGGGAGUAGUGCACAAUGGGCGCAAGCCUGAUGCAGCCAUGCCGCGUGUAUGAAGAAGGCCUUCGGGUUGUAAAGUACUUGCAGCGAGGAGACGUUACUCGCAUAAGAAGCACCAGCUAACUCCGUGCCAGCAGCCGCGGUAAUAC